ACCUACGGGAGGCAGCCGUAGGGAAUUUUCGUCAAUGGGCGCAAGCCUGAACGAGCAAUGCCGCGUGAACGAGGAAGGUCUUCGGAUCGUAAAGUUCUGUUGAAGGGGAAAAAGAGCGGAGAGAGGAAAUGGUCUCCGAUUGAUAUUACCCUUCGAGGAAGUCACGGCUAACUACGUGCCAGCAGCCGCGGUAAUACGUAGGUGGCGAGCGUUAUCCGGAAUGAUUGGGCGUAAAGGGUGCGUAGGCGGCCUGCUAAGUCUGGAGUGAAAGGUACCGGCCCAACCGGUACACGCUCUGGAAACUG
rnacentral:rRNA from 1 species